rnacentral:rRNA from 1 species
CACGUAGGGCGCGAGCGUUGUCCGGAAUUAUUGGGCGUAAAGAGCUCGUAGGCGGCCUGUUGCGUCCGCUGUGAAAGCCCGGGGCUUAACCCCGGGUCGGCAGUGGAUACGGGCAGGCUAGAGGUAGGUAGGGGAGAAUGGAAUUCCCGGUGUAGCGGUGAAAUGCGCAGAUAUCAGGAGGAACACCGGUGGCGAAGGCGGGUCUCUGGGCCGAAACUGACGCUGAGGAGCGAAAGCGUGGGGAGCGAACAGG